rnacentral:piRNA from 1 species
UUGUUGUGUGCAUAUAGGCUUUCUAGA